CAGCGUGCGCGCUGAGUUCCUUUGGCUUUAGAGGCCAAAAAGCGCAUGGGAGCCAAUGCGACCACGAGUGGCUUCGAAUUAGAAUGGGGAGGUGCCGCGCAGCGUCAAGACAGGGAUUUUUCUCAAGAGUUGUGAAGCUGCACGAAGAGAAGUUGAAGUAGGAAUCAAGCAAAGUAAAAACCUUGGCCAAUGGGGAUAGUGCUAAAAUCUCCUUCCGGCUGCCCCUCCAAUUGGGAACCCAGUCUGAACAUUACCCCUUGCCUUUCACAGCUGACAAAGCUGUGUGAAGGAGUGUCACAGCAACAGCAGAACUGUCAAGAAAGGACCAAGGAAAGAAGAAGGGGCAUUAUGUACCUAGAGAAAGAGUUCCCAAGAUUGAGGAGAGGCUGCAGUGGUUCUGAGGGGCAGGUUGGGUCUCCCUGCUCUCCAGCCAAUAACGCAGAGACACAUUUUGAAUCUGCCAGGCAUUGAGUCUGUGUGAUUCCAGGAGCUGCAGGAUAUCACCACGCUGAAGCAGGAACAGACCCAGGGCAGGAUUCUGGCAAGAAAGUUGCAUGGAAACAAGCUCUGGAGUAGGAGAGACUGGAGUUCAAGUGCUAGUCCUGCCUCUUACUGAUCAGUGAUGUUGGGCAAGCUGAUUAACGUUUGGAGCCUCGGUUUCUCAUUUGUCUGUGAAAUGAGAUGCGGAGAGGCCUAAAUGCGAUGAUGACUGUGACACAAUCAACAAGCCCACUUACCUGAAGAGGCACUCUGUCCUUCAACUUUCAAGCUUCCUGCCCUCAAAGAUAUACAAGAUGAUUUUUCCAGAUCAUUAUUUGUUCAAUAUUGGUUUGGGGGACCUUUCUGAAACAAAUCGCAUCCUCUGGUGUCUUGUUGGUGCUUGAGAUGCUUUUUUAAGUUACAUGGAAAAAUGUUUAAGUGCUUUUCAGUUUUGUUUUGGUUGAGUUCUACUGUAUUUGAAUAUUAUUGUAGUUUUUUUCCCCUUGCAUUGUUCUUUGAGUGGUUUUAAU
rnacentral:lncRNA from 1 species